rnacentral:lncRNA from 1 species
GCGGCGUAUGGUGGAGCGACGCAGCUGUGGCUGGCCGGUGGCGGGGGCCGGGAUCCAGUGGCUACAGCGGCUGGACGACGGUGGGAAGCGCAGAUGGGCUCCUUGGUGAGCUUCCUUGGUGGUUAGCGGCGGCCCUUGGGAUUUCUCCUUGCCGGUGGAUAGGUGUGUGUUGGUGCCUCGCGUGGAGCUGCGUCUGCCGCCGAGGUGGGGCGACACAGGGGCUGUCCUGUGGGGAGGCAGGCUGGAGGGAUGGGAGGCGCCGCCGAGCUCGGGCCACCCGUCGCCGACAAAGGGGUGUGCCGGUCGUGGAUGCGUCCGCUCCCACUCCCCCCUUUCCCCGUCCGUGUGUGUGCUUCGGCGUUGUUCGAGGCAGGACGUAUGUUGCGGUCUCUUCAGUCGGGUGCGUCCGUUGGCCCAAAGUCGGUCACUUUGGUCGGUCUUGGGGGUGUCUGGAUGUAGGGCGGCGGGAGGCACCGCGUUCGUGGGCGGAACUUGCGUCUCGGGUGCGGGCAAGCAGCCAUGGCCACGCGGGUGGGUGGUCCCUGGUGGUUGGCGGAGGGGUGGGAGUGCUGGGGUACAUCACUUGCCCAAUCGUUGUAUUGGCCGACGGCGGCGGCGGCCGUGGACGCCGUAUCCUUCAUGAAGGCUCCGUCGCGGUGUCCCUACUCCUUCGUGAUGCUUUGGGUGAAAACACGAUCUUCAAGAUCAUAUGGUGGCGGCUAUAGCUCCAAACGGUUCUUCUUCGCUCAUUUGUAGUGGCUUUGUAUUCGUUGGGGUGGCGUGGCGGUGCUCAGCACCUUUAUAUCUUGCCUUGUGUGUGUGUGUUGUGUGCGGUGGUGGCGUGAGUUUGUAUCAUUGUGCUUGUGGGUCGGUGCUUUAUAUAUAAAGCAGGGCGAAAGCCUUUUUGGAUAAUCCUUUGGCAUCUCUUUGUUAUCAGUAUACCCUGAUGAUACCAAGCAAUGCAGCAAGCAAGAUUUGUAACUGAGUAGGUUAAAUUUAUGGACUUUAAGAAUAACAAGAAGGCUUAGGCGCUCUGCUAGAAUAGUACCUGCUAGAAAUAUUUUUGUUCGUUUGUAAAGCAUAGAGAAGAUGAAUGUCUUUACCUCUUUGGAUCACGAGCUGAAUUAGAGGCUUAUAACAAUAGGUGGUGAAUGACGGUGUGUCCUUGGAAGUACCGGUGUCUUGUUUGUUAUAGGGAACCAACACAUCGCUUCAUUACACGCAUUGCAUACUUUUGUUGAUGGGGACUCUACGAUGGUGCUGACUAACACCGGAUGCCUUCUUUGAUGUCACCUCUUUCUAGUUUAAAAAACAAAUCAUGUAGGAUCAGUUCGCCCUAGUGUUAUGAAAGAAUUGAGCAAACAAGGGUUAUGUUGUCAAGCAAGUAAGUUCAAUCAUCUUAUUUGUUUAUGUGCCGGUGGCAAUUUGCUCUAUUUGUAGGCAAUAUGGUGUCUUGCUUGUGUUGGUGGAAUUUGCCUUAUUUGUAGGCAAAGGCGGUGAUCUUAUAUUUGCUAAUAUGUGGUUCCUCAACAUGUGAGUUCAUAAUAUUUUUUAUGGUGGUCAUAUUUGUUAGAGUUAUAUUGAUGAUGGAUUUUUGGCCUUUUGUAUUCUAGUCUUUUGGCAUUUUCUUGUACAUUUUAUAUAUGCAGCUUUGGUCCACUAUUAAUACAAGUUGCAUCGUAACAUGAUAUAAUGAGCCUAGGUUUAGGAAAAAGAAGUCGGGUGCUGCAACUCGCCCUCCCGACGAUCUCCUCGUCUCCGUCCGAUCGAUCGAAGUCUCCUCAACGCUCGCGUGCUAUCUGAUCCUUCCGAUCCGCCGGCCGGCCAUCUCGCUUCG